ensembl:rRNA 5S_rRNA 5S ribosomal RNA
GUCUAUGGCCAUACCAUCCUAAACACACCCAAUCUAGUCUGACCUCGGAAGCUAAGCAGGGUCGGGCCUGGUUAGUACUUGUAUGGGAGAAAAAAGAUUAGAAAACAACAUCAGGGCCCGGCGGUAUGGACU